UACAGAGGUCUCAAGCGUUGUUCGGAUUCAUUGGGCGUAAAGGGUGCGCAGGUGGCGAGGCAAGUCGGAUGUGAAAUCCCGGGGCUCAACCCAGGAACUGCGUCCGAUACUGGUUGGCUUGAAUCCGGGAGAGGGACGUGGAAUUCCAGGUGUAGCGGUGAAAUGCGUAGAUAUCUGGAGGAACACCGGUGGCGAAGGCGACGUCCUGGACCGGCAUUGACGCUGAGGCGCGAAAGCCAGGGGAGCAAACAGG
rnacentral:rRNA from 1 species